GAAUUGGCGGGGGAGCACAACAACGGGUGGAGCCUGCGGUUUAAUUGGACUCAACGCCGGACAACUCACCGGGAACGACAGCAAUAUGUAGGCCAGGCUGAAGACCUUGCCUGAAUCGCUGAGAGGAGGUGCAUGGCCGUCGCCAGUUCGUACUGUGAAGCAUCCUGUUAAGUCAGGCAACGAGCGAGACCCGUGCCCACUGUUACCAGCAUAUCCUCCGGGAUGAUGGGUACUCUGUGGGGACCGCUGAUGUUAAAUCAGAGGAAGGUGCGGGCUACGGUAGGUCAGUAUGCCCCGAAUUUCCCGGGCUACACGCGGGCUACAAUGAAUGGGACAAUGGGCCCCUACCCUGAAAAGGGUUGGUAAUCUCACAAACCCAUCCGUAGUUCGGAUUGAGGGCUGUAACUCGCCCUCAUGAAGCUGGAAUCCGUGGUAAUCGCGUUUCAAUAUAGCGCGGUGAAUACGUCCCUGCUCCUUGCACACACCGC
rnacentral:rRNA from 1 species